rnacentral:rRNA from 1 species
UACGUAGGGGGCAAGCGUUGUCCGGAUUUAUUGGGCGUAAAGAGCGUGUAGGCGGCCAGGUAGGUCCGCUGUGAAAACUCGAGGCUCAACCUCGAGAUGUCGGCGGAAACCAUCUGGCUAGAGUCCGGAAGAGGAGAGUGGAAUUCCUGGUGUAGCGGUGAAAUGCGCAGAUAUCAGGAGGAACACCAAUAGCGAAGGCAGCUCGCUGGGACGGUACUGACGCUAAGGCGCGAAAGCGUGGGGAGCGAACAGG